GUCGAACGGGACUGUUUUGAAAGAUUUCUUCGGAAUGAAUUUGAUUUAGUUUAUUGGCGGACGGGUGAGUAACGCGUGAGUAACCUGCCUUCAAGAGGGGGAUAACAUUCUGAAAAGAAUGCUAAUACCGCAUGACAUAUCGGAACCACAUGGUUCUGAUAUCAAAGAUUUUAUCGCUUGAAGAUGGACUCGCGUCCGAUUAGUUAGUUGGUGAGGUAACGGCUCACCAAGACCGCGAUCGGUAGCCGGACUGAGAGGUUGAACGGCCACAUUGGGACUGAGACACGGCCCAGACUCCUACGGGAGGCAGCAGUGGGGGAUAUUGCGCAAUGGGGGCAACCCUGACGCAGCAACGCCGCGUGAAGGAUGAAGGUUUUCGGAUUGUAAACUUCUUUUAUUAAGGACGAAAAUUGACGGUACUUAAUGAAUAAGCUCCGGCUAACUACGUGCCAGCAGCCGCGGUAAUACGUAGGGAGCAAGCGUUGUCCGGAUUUACUGGGUGUAAAGGGUGCGUAGGCGGCUUUGCAAGUCAGAUGUGAAAUCUAUGGGCUCAACCCAUAAACUGCAUUUGAAACUGUAGAGCUUGAGUGAAGUAGAGGCAGGCGGAAUUCCCCGUGUAGCGGUGAAAUGCGUAGAGAUGGGGAGGAACACCAGUGGCGAAGGCGGCCUGCUGGGCUUUAACUGACGCUGAGGCACGAAAGCGUGGGUAGCAAACAGGAUUAGAUACCCUGGUAGUCCACGCUGUAAACGAUGAUUACUAGGUGUGGGGGGUCUGACCCCUUCCGUGCCGGAGUUAACACAAUAAGUAAUCCACCUGGGGAGUACGGCC
rnacentral:rRNA from 1 species